UCAGUCACCAGAAAUGUAAUCUGUGUUUUACUUGGAAAUAUUGAAAGUAUAAGUCUUCUUAUUUUCAGUUAAAGCAAAUUAGCCUGUUCUUCCUCUUUAUUUACAGGUGAAACCAUAACUUUUCCUGCCAAAUGAAUCUGCCAAAUACUGUUUUGUCUUUAAAUACUUUUUAGAGGUUUGGUUUUUUGGUGGUUUAUUUAUUUAUUUAUUUCUCUUUUUCCCCUCCUCUGUAUGCCUGUAAUGUCCCAGUUUUGCCUUUGUUUUGCACAGGAAUAAGCAAAGACAGCUCUAAUUUAUGCGUUAAUUUUAAAAGGUGUAAAAUUCAGUACAAGAUGCCAAGGACAGUGGCUUAUACAUGCAAGACCUGCUCCAGUCAUAGGCUGCUGUGUUCUAGUCCGUAUCCUUAAAUUCUGCAAAAGUGUAUCCUCUGUUACUGAAACUGGAAUUGGAAGGAUGAACAGUAUUAAAUUAAGAAUCUAUCUGUAUUAAAUUAAAAAUCUGUUACAUUUCACUAGUGUUAUUAAUGUGCCAUCUAAAUUCCCCAUCUAACAUACAGACAAACUAAUCCUCAGACAAAGCUCUGACAUCCUGUAAAAAUACACUGUUCAUUGACUAAUUUUUCCUAUUGUUUUCUUCUCUCAGUUGUUUUAUUUUCAUGACCAGAAAACUUCAGCCCUUUGCCUGUGGGUAAACAGCUAAGUUGCGUAAGAAUAAAACAAGCAAUAUUAAUUGCAAUAAAAGUAUAAGCGGACCUUCUGAGUUUAAAGUUUAAAAGCAUUUAAACUUCAUGCAUUUAAAGUGAGAUUGCUUCAUCCUGUAGUCCAGAUUCUUCCUUUGCUGUGGCUGUCUCACCCGCUAGUGAAUAAAAAUUGAAUGCGUUUCUCCUAGCAGCGUGCCGUGAGAGACUGAUGUGGUCCAGAGUAGAAAGAGGAGGUGUGGGGGACGUGACCAUUGCCACCAGGAUUGGUGUUGCCUGACCAUUGAGCAGAUAUCCAAGCCACCAGUGUCAGGAAUUUGGGCAGCCUUGUUUUUUAUUCUUGUCCUCUGACUUACUUUGCAGCUCCUGCGGUGUCCUGCAAGUCAUUCUUUCUGCUUCACCCUUCUCCUCUGUGGCAGGAGAAGGCUGUCCUGUUUGCUGUGAGGAGAUGCUGCAAGGUUUCAGGAGCUGAUGACUCCAAAGACUUUUUCAGCAGAAAGCUGCUGGCAUUUGCAGUGCAGCUUCAUCAUGGAGCUGAAGUGAGCAAAAAGAUUUCCAGAGAGGAUGUUCUGUGACAUCUGCCGCUUAAGACUUCAAGGCAUUUGCAGAGAUGACGAUUUUAUCAUCAAGUCUUCAUGAAGCCCAAAGAUCACCAGUUUUCGAAUGGCUGUAGAUUCACACCACGGGCACAGGAGACUGUCAGGGGAAGAUGACCUGUAACUCUGGUGUCCAAGCUCUCCUUUGGUGCUUGUAUUACAGAGCAUCUAAAUCACAUAUUACAGCCGUUUGGAUUGUACCACCUGCUGAAGCAAGCAGCCAGAGACAUAGUCCUGUAGCUACCUGUGAUGUUUCCAGUUCCAGGGAGCCUGAUCUUUGCUGGAGAAGCCCUCUUGGGAGGCUCCUUAAAAUUUCCACUAAGUCCUCUCCCUGAAAUGUCACAUGAAUCUGGUAGGCCACAGGAUUUUACAGUGGUUCACUGAGAUAUAUAUGGCUGGGAGAAAGGUUAGUCACAUAUUUGUCAGAGGAAUGUUGUAUCUCCUAUGUAGAGUAAGCGAUUGUCAUCAAGAGCCUUAUCUCCCCCCCGUAUCGCAGGAAGAGUGGCACCAGGCUCGAUCGUCAAUAAAAGCACAUACGAGGAAGAUGGCUGCUUUGACUGCAUGAAAGCCUGUUCAGAGAUAUGAGAAUAAGGAAGAGCAGAAAAGGUCCUGUGGUGGAAAUGUAAAGCCAGUUGUGAUGGUUUGUGGUAUAAAACAAUCUACACAUCAGAAGAGUCAUUGAAUUUAGGACAAGUUUAGCGCUGGUCAGCCUCAGCCUAGUGAGCUGAGCGGGACACAUCUGCUCUCAGCAUAGGGGGCGUGAAGCCAAAACAUGAAGUUUACCCCAGCCAAGAUCGUGACCAGACACAGAUCAAGAAAGCAAAAUAAAUUAAGUUCUAUGAGAAAAACAAGAUAAAAUUGGGGUGGAGGGACAGAGGAAGAACAUGUGGGUGUGUGAAUUUCUGAACCUACCAUAUACUUCCUCCUAUGAUUAUUUUCCCUACCGGUGGCAACUUUCUUGUAAGGUAGAACUUUUAUGGCAGUAAGAAAUGUAUUAAAUACAUUCAGACCAGCACAAGCCUCAAAUUAAAAAUGUUGUGUUUUUAUUUCUCCACUUAGAUUGCUAUUUCUUUUUCAUUGUAUUUUGAUAUUUAGAAGCUCUGUCUGCCUUCCUCAGGUUUGCUUUCCCUUGUUUCCACUUAAAGGUAAUUGGAUUUUAUUAAUGAA